rnacentral:rRNA from 1 species
UCUGGAAACUNUCUGACUUGAGUGCAGAAGGGGGGAGUGGAAUUCCAUGUGUAGCGGUGAAAUGCGUAGAUAUAUGGAGGAACACCAGUGGCGAAAGCGGCUCUCUGGUCUGUCACUGACGCUGAGGCUCGAAAGCGUGGGUAGCGAACAGGAUUAGAUACCCUGGUAGUCCACGCCGUAAACGAUGAGUGCUAGGUGUUAGGCCCUUUCCGGGGCUUAGUGCCGGAGCUAACGCAAUAAGCACUCCGCCUGGGGAGUACGACCGCAAGGUUGAAACUCAAAGGAAUUGACGGGGGCCCGCACAAGCGGUGGAGCAUGUGGUUUAAUUCGAAGCAACGCGAAGAACCUUACCAGGUCUUGACAUCCCGAUGCUAUUCUUAGAGAUAGGAAGUUACUUCGGUACAUCGGAGACAGGUGGUGCAUGGUUGUCGUCAGCUCGUGUCGUGAGAUGUUGGGUUAAGUCCCGCAACGAGCGCAACCCUUAUUGUUAGUUGCCAUCAUUAAGUUGGGCACUCUAGCGAGACUGCCGGUAAUAAACCGGAGGAAGGUGGGGAUGACGUCAAAUCAUCAUGCCCCUUAUGACCUGGGCUACACACGUGCUACAAUGGUCGGUACAACGAGUUGCGAGCCGGUGACGGCAAGCUAAUCUCUGAAAGCCGAUCUCAGUUCGGGUUGGAGGCUGCAACUCGCCUCCAUGAAGUCGGAAUCGCUAGUAAUCGCGGAUCAGCACGCCGCGGUGAAUACGUUCCCGGGCCUUGUACACACCGCCCGUCACACCACGAGAGUUUGUAACACCCGAAGUCGG